rnacentral:rRNA from 1 species
UACAGAGGUCUCAAGCGUUGUUCGGAUUCAUUGGGCGUAAAGGGUGCGUAGGCGGCGCGGUAAGUCGGAUGUGAAAUCUCGGAGCUUAACUUCGAAACUGCAUUCGAUACUGCCGUGCUUGAGGACUGGAGAGGAGACUGGAAUUUACGGUGUAGCAGUGAAAUGCGUAGAUAUCGUAAGGAAGACCAGUGGCGAAGGCGAGUCUCUGGACAGUUACUGACACUGAGGCACGAAGGCCAGGGGAGCAAACGGG